rnacentral:tRNA from 1 species
GCUGAUGUGGCGAAAUCGGCAGACGCAAAGGACUUAAAAUCCUUCGGGGGCAACUCCGUACCGGUUCAAGUCCGGUCAUCAGCACCA